rnacentral:rRNA from 1 species
UACGUAGGGGGCAAGCGUUGUCCGGAUUUAUUGGGCGUAAAGCGCGUGUAGGCGGCCAUACAGGUCCGUUGUGAAAACUCGAGGCUUAACCUCGAGACGUCGAUGGAAACCGUAUGGCUAGAGUCCGGAAGAGGAGAGUGGAAUUCCUGGUGUAGCGGUGAAAUGCGCAGAUAUCAGGAAGAACACCCGUGGCGAAGGCGGCUCUCUGGGACGGUACUGACGCUGAGACGCGAAAGCGUGGGGAGCGAACAGG